ensembl:snRNA U6 U6 spliceosomal RNA
GUGGUCACUUCGGCAGCACAUAUACUCAAAUUGGAACGAUACAGAGAAGAUUAGCAUGGCCUCUGUGCAAAGAUGACAUGCAAAUUCAUGAAGCGUUCCAUAUUUUA